CAAGGUGACCUUCCACAAAUCAUGUGUCCACCAGUCUGUCACUGAUGCUUGACCUUCCACCAUUAGAGAUUCAUUCUUUUGUAACUUGGAGGUGAGGAAGACUUCCAGAGUCUCCUCUUGAAAUGUAAAUACCUCUGGGAAGGCCACCAAUAGCUGAUAGCUAAUAAAUUGCAAGGGCUGUUUCUCCAAGAGCAUUAAUAACCAACAGUGUGGUGGUAUGGAGAGGAAGCCGAGGCAGAGAGACUUUGGAAUUCAUUGAAAUAGGAGGGUAAAGUUGGGACUGAUGUGAGAAUGGGUCCACCCCGUUUUAAACAUUCCACAAAUGCUACUAUUUACCUAUCCAACUAAAUAUAUAAGAACAUGGCCCAGACACAUUGGUGAGAAAUGCCCUUCCCAAGGCAUGAACAAAUGUUUGGAAGCCCAAAGGGAAAGUGCUGCUCACACCCAUCUGCCAUCAGAGGAUGCCUAGCCUUGGGCUUUCUGUGUAAUGGGCAUCGAGGCUUAGUUGGAGCCAGGUCCCCACCUCUACCUCAAGGCUUCAUUUGCAUGAGUUGACCUGCAUGGACACUUCUGUUUAUGGCUGAAGAAUGGAGGAGUUUGUACUACUAUUUUGUGGGUAGAAGACAGGGAAGGAGGAAACUGAACAACAGAGGGGAUGGUGUAUCAUCUGCCUACCCCGACAGUGGCCUUUGUGCCCUUGUAGAGCAAUGGAAGAGUUUGGACCAGAAGCAGAGGGGCUGAUUCUCCAAGAGGCUUCAUGAGACUCAAAAUGCAAGGAGUGGGCUUAGGGGCUCGGCGAAUCUGCUCCUGCUUCUUGUGACAUCCAGACGUUGCUGGGUAUGCUGGAAGAUAACUGCCCCACAGCUAUCAGCAUCCUCAUGAGGGAUGUUGCCAACAUGGGCAGCGGCAAGGCUCCUAAAAGCCACCUCAGGGUCACUGGACAUGGGCUAAGGGAAGUCAGAGAUGCAGAAGAAGGAGGAGGGGGAGACUCAAUAUGGGAAAUGUAGGACUCCAAGAACUGAAGCAAUGUGCCCAACGUCACAGAGUUAGAAUGUAAGAAUGUGGACUGAAAACCAGGUCUGUGCGGCUCUGAGGUCUGUGCUCCUUCCACUGGUGGAGUGAGAAAGACAUGGGCUCUGAGCAGUCUUCAAUCCCUUACCAGGUGAAUUAACCAUAAAGUGAACUCUUCCUGGUAAGAUGAGGACUGUGGCAGGAUUCUCUAGCAACUCAUCUCGCUGCUUUCUGGGCCAUCAUCUGCGACCAUUACUGUGUACUGCGGGACAGAGUGUUAAUUUGAGUAUGUUUUGGAGCCAAGAAUCAUUAGACAGGUAGAAAUUUGAUUUGAGUGUAUCUGGAUACAUAAAAUGAGUCAAAGAGAAGUGAUUUUUGGAUAAUCUGAUGAUUUGCCGUAUUCGGACAUCAAUAUGGAUCAUUGAGACUUGAUGGGGUUAUGCUGACUACAACACUGGUAGACUGUGUUGCCAAGUAAUUCACUGGUAGGGGCACCUGGGUGGCUCAGUCAGCUAAGUGUCUGCCUUCAGCUCAGGUCAUGAUCUCAGGGUCUUGGGA